rnacentral:rRNA from 1 species
CAGCAGCCGCGGUAAUACGAAGGGGGCUAGCGUUGUUCGGAAUUACUGGGCGUAAAGCGCACGUAGGCGGACAUUUAAGUCAGGGGUGAAAUCCCGGGGCUCAACCCCGGAACUGCCUUUGAUACUGGGUGUCUAGAGUAUGGAAGAGGUGAGUGGAAUUCCGAGUGUAGAGGUGAAAUUCGUAGAUAUUCGGAGGAACACCAGUGGCGAAGGCGGCUCACUGGUCCAUUACUGACGCUGAGGUGCGAAAGCGUGGGGAGCAAACAGGAUUAGAUACCCCGGUAGUCCCUGUCUCUUAUAU